rnacentral:rRNA from 1 species
CAGCAGCCGCGGUAAUACGUAGGGUGCAAGCGUUAAUCGGAUUUACUGGGCGUAAAGGGCGCGUAGGUGGUUAUUUAAGUGAGAUGUGAAAGCCCCGGGCUUAACCUGGGAACUGCAUCUUAUACUGGGUAACUGGAGUGCAGUAGAGGGUAGUGGAAUUUCCGGUGUAGCGGUGAAAUGCGUAGAUAUCGGAAGGAACACCAGUGGCGAAGGCGGCUACCUGGACUGAGACUGACACUGAGGCGCGAGAGCGUGGGGAGCAAACAGGAUUAGAUACCCCUGUAGUCCCUGUCUCUUAUAC